UUCUUUGAACCCCUCUGAGGCCGUAUGCAUAUUUAUCUCCUUUGCCUGAAGGGAGGUGGGUCUUACCCUCUCUUCCACCAAAUUAGAGUAGAUUUCUGUCUUUUGCACAUUCCUUCCUCUAUCCAUCCAGUCAGCAAAUAAAUCUCACCCUAGGGCAAGAUUAUUACCAAAACCAGCACCAGUUCUACUGCUCUCCUACCUCUGGAUUCCUGCCCUGUGGUUUUUCAGAAGCCUUCUCAGUGCUCUUAGUCCAUGGUGCAUGGUGAUCACAGCUUCCUCCUAGUCAACUCAAUUCUGUAACUUUGUAUUUGGACCUAUGAAAUGUAACUAAUUUCUACUUCUGGGUGGAAAGAUUUACAAGGGCUUCCUGGAAGAGGUAGCUAAGUUGCCUUUUGGCAGAUGGAACUGAGGCAGAACUCUUAGGGGGAACAGUGGAGGGACUGCUGCUUGGAUAGGCUCUAGGUAUCACCUGGAGAAACGGAGAGCAAAAGCAGGGCCCUGGCCCAUACCUUCUUGGGGAAGUCACUUCUCUUUGGGCCUCAGCUUUCCCGUUUCUUUCUCUUUCCUUUUUUUUUAAAAUUUAUUUACUUAUAUUUAUUUAUUUUUGAGACAGUCUCACUCUGUCACCCAGGCUGGAGUGUGGAGUGCAGUGGUGCUAUUUCAGCUCACUGCAACCUCUGCUUCCUAGAUUCAAGAGAUUCUCCCACCUCAGCCUCCCGAGUAGCUGGGACUACAGGCGCAUGCCACUACGCCUGGCUAAUUUUUGUAUUUUUUGGUAGAGAUGGGGUUUCACCACGUUGGCCAGGCUGGUCUCGAACUCCUGAUCUCAGGUGAUCCGCCCACCUCAGCCUCCCAAAGUGUUGGGAUUACAGGUGUGAGCCACCGUGCCCGGCCAGCUUUCCCAUUUCUAAAACUCCCCUGAGCUCAUGGAUGAUGCUCAUAGCUUUGAGAGCCAUGAACUGCUGAACCUCUUGUGGUCAAGGCAGUGGGUGUUCGUUCAUUCAACAAAUAUUUAUUCAGGGCCUUCUAUGUUCAGAAACUCUCUUUGAGGUACUAGGACAUAGAGAA
rnacentral:lncRNA from 1 species